UGAGAAGUCUGAAAUCAAGGUGUCAGCAGUGCCGUGCUCCCUCUAAAGGCUCGAGGGGAGGAUCCUUACUUGCCUCUUCCAGCUACUAGUAUUUUGAUGGGUGGGGUUGCAUGCGGCUGGUGUAGAGAGUGUACAGCCGGGAGGCCUAAUCUGGUCAAGAGGAGUGUAAGGAAACAUUUAGCCCGAGUCCUAAGGCAAGGGGACCCUUACUAGAUGAGGAUGGGGGUACUAAUCAAGGAGGAGAAAGUGAUGUGAGGGAAGUGCCCUAAGGCAAGAAGAGCUUACAGAGUGAAAGAGAGAGUGAUAUGAGAUCAGGUAGAGAGAAGGGUGGACAUGGUGCCAGCCCCGAUUAAGCUACAGGUGUGAGAUUAAGACGGGGGGAGUCAAUGUCGGGGUUUGGGCAGGGACGUGACCUGGUCUGACUUGCAUUUGAGAGAGACCCUCAAAUGGAAGAGAGGAGAACGAGCUGGAGCCAGCCCUAGGAUCUCAAGGAGACCUGUCAGGAAGCCAACACACAGUGAUACGUAGACCUUCUGGCUGGGAUGCUGGUCAGUCCAAUUACCUUCCUCCUGGAAUUAGCGAUGAAGUGGGAAAAUAAUCCAGGAGAAAAGGUCAAGGAAGGCACAGUAAAUUUGCUUUCAUCCAAGACAUCCCGAGUCAUUCUGGCUUAUUCUCAAAGUCAGUCACAGAAUCAUUUCCUCGCCUGCCCUUGAGCACAUCCUAGCUUCUGGUGGGCCCUAAACCGAAUGACCUGCGCAGGGGUGGGUGCUCUAGCCAGGGAGGAACUGUGGAAGAGUCAGACCCUGUAAAGCGAUCGCGUCAACUCCAGGACGUGCAGCUGUCAGCAACCUGGUGCCUGAUAAGCUUUCCUGGACAUCAGAUGGCUGUGAGAGAACAUUUUGAUGAAUUAAGUAAAAAAAAUGAAUCAUAAACAUGUGGAACAUGUUUUUCACUGCGCUCGAGAUUUAAAACUUACAAGGAAAGGUAUUUGGCCGUGUUUGCCAAAACCAAGAAGCAUUUGAAAGCCAGCCAGCCGAAGACACUUCAUGGAGACCGGCUGGGUUUGCUCAGCUUUGCUCAUAAAGAGGGUCCAUAAAGAAAUCACUCCAGCUCUACUAGUGCCGUCAGCCCCUGGUGGCUGACGCUUCCUUAGGAAGGAAUGACUAAGAGAAUUCGGUCGUGUCUUCCUACCGGGUCCGAAGGCCAGGAAGAUGCCCCGCAUGUCCCUGAGCUCGUUGUCGUAUCCGUGCCAUCCGCGCUGCCAGCCUUGCCUCUUGUCAGUGCUGUUCAUCCAGAAUGGAAGCGUCUCUCGAUUCUGCAAUCAAGCAAAAGGCAUUUACAUCGCCCCGUGUCCAGACAUCCGGACGACUGAGCAUCCGGUCCAAACUGCCACCCAGUGGACUUCCUGCUCAGAGGUCUCAGUCAGGGUCAUCCAACCUCAGCUGGAUCACUUCCUACUCCAGUACAGCACGGAAGCCCCGAGGCAGCCGGCUUCCCACAAGCCCAGGGGCGCCCACUGCAGGAACCACCCGUCCUCCUUUCUUCCAGCUCCACCCCGGGGGGUGACUCGGAACAUAUUAGUCCCCUCCUCUCCAUUUAGUCAACAUUUGAAGAUAGCACCCGUGUUCCUCUGCGCCAGGCCUUGGUGUCUUCACUUUCUUCGACCAUUCUUCACUGAGGAUGGCUUCCAGAACUAUCACUGCCCUGUCACCCUUCUUUCCUGCAAAACUAAAUUUUCUUAGACUGCAGCUGCUUACUCGAGAGACAACAAGCUUAAAGAAGGUUUUGCAAAUCCUAAGGAGGCUGCAGCCAGUUGGACACAACCUGAGCCCUCCUUGGCGGACUAAGCCUUCAUUUCCGAUAUUCUAGUCAUCUUGCUCAGCACAGGGUUUAAUAUUACAAGUUUUCCAAAUGCAGGAGGUAGAACUGACUACCUCCUGGAAGCAGAAGAGCUCAAGGACCAGGGAUUUACAGGUUGUCUCACAAGACUCGUAACAACACGUGUAUUUUGUGUGCUGUACGGUUCACCAAGAGCCUCCCCCAACGUGCACUUAAUCAUCACCACCUCCCACUGUGGAUGGUAUUAUUUUUCCUACCUUGGCAUAGAGAGGUUAAGUGACACUUUUAAAGUCACACAGCUGUUGAGAGGCAGGGCUGGGAUUGGAAUGCAGGUCGACAGUCUCCUGGUCUUCAUGUGCCUUCCAGGACCCCAUAGCCAGAGGUCGCUGCAGGGCUCCUGCCAGCACAGGACAGUGGGCUGUCCCUGUCCCUUGCCUCUUCACUCACUGAGUGGUGGCCAGUUCAGAGUAUGGAGAUAAGAUUUUGGAAUAGGAUGUGGGUUGAAUUCCAGUUUGCCACUUUCCAGCUCUGUGAUCCUGGGCAAGCUGCGUAACUUCUCCAUGCUUCAGCUUCCUUGCUGGAUGUGAUACUACCUGCCUCACAGAGAUUCUGGAGGAUAACCCGGCUGUGCGCUAAGCCCGAAACACAGUAGGUGCUCGAUAAAUGGCUGGGGAUGGUCAGCAGAUGCCACUGGCUGCGGGGCGAGGCGCUCGGGUACUGUGCGGCAGGGUCGAACCCUCCUUUGCUUAUUUAGCUGUCACAUCGCAUUGCACACCCAUCCAGUCUCACCCCAUAAAUCACUCCCUGGCUUUACCGCUUUCCAAAUCACACUGUUUCAUUGACUCUCUGUUUCCUGAAUUGCCAUCAUCCCCUAUCCCGCCUUCUCCAGCUGUAGCUUGUAGUUUUCAAUGGGAAUAUAUUUAUUAACUUACUGCAUUUCUGACUUAUACCGUUUUUUGUUCUUUGUCUGUGGUGAUGCUCACAACACAUCCCAAUUUAGCUUCGUUCGCUAAUGUCACACGCUGCUCCCCCCCCCCCCAGUCUUUAGUGAUUCCUGAAGAACUAGGUAGAACAUAUCACUGGUGAUGUCACUAAUCAUGAACCCCAUGGGACAUAUGUGUCCCAUGACCAAGGGACAGGUGGAAGAGAGAUGAGGACUGAUUGCCUGAUUUUAAAAUUCCAGCUUAAACAACUACAAACAUACAGCAACAAAAAAUCUCAGCCCUGAAGGUAACUGGGGAUCGGUCUGAUCAUAGGUCAAUCCACCAGUUCUUAUUAACACGACAGGUUGCUCCAGUGAAACAACUAUUCUUACUGAUUUUAAAAAGUAAUAGUAAACUGGCUGGUUAUGUGAGAAGCGAAGUGAUUGAACGGAUUACAUGACAUAAUCUAAUGACAUUAUGUAAUUAACCUCAAGAAGGUGCAGGGAUGAUUUCCUUCCUCAUCCCCUCCCGGUGGCUUUCACCAUUUCACUGGGCUCUGUAUCCCCACAUCAGCAUCCCAGCGCAGGCCUGUGCAGCCGUGUGACACAUACCACACAGGGGCAGCCCUUUAGGUGAAGCACCCCAGACCUCAGUCCCCAGGCAGGGGGUCCUCAAGCUACUGGUUGAGCCUCACCCCUCCUGACCCUACCAGGCCCAGGGGCUGCCACACAGCACCGCCUAGUGACAUCCUGGGGAGGUGCCCGAACCCUGCAGGAGAGCGAGGGUAGAGGGGUCUGUGUGUGAGCGUGAGUGUGUG